rnacentral:rRNA from 1 species
AUUGAACGCUGGCGGUAUGCUUAAGACAUGCAAGUCGAACGGUAACAGGUUAAGCUGACGAGUGGCGGACGAGUGAGUAACGCGUGGGAAUCUACCUUGUAGUGGGGGAUAAGCCAGGGAAACUUGGGACUAAUACCGCAUACGCCCUAAGGGGGAAAGGCGCAAGUCGCUAUAAGAUGAGCCCGCGUCUGAUUAGGUAGUUGGUGGGGUAAAGGCCUACCAAGCCGACGAUCAGUAGCUGGUCUGAGAGGAUGAUCAGCCACGUCGGGACCUGAGACACGGCCCGGACUCCUACGGGAGGCAGCAGUCGGGAAUAUUGGACAAUGGGGGAAACCCUGAUCCAGCAAUACCGCGUGUGUGAAGAAGGCCUGCGGGUUGUAAAGCAACUUUCAGUUGGGAAGGAUAAUGACGUUUACCAACAGAAGAAGCACCGGCUAACUCCGUG